rnacentral:tRNA from 1 species
GCACUCGUAGCUCAGUGGAUAGAGCAGCGGUUUCCGGUGCCGCGUGUCGGGGGUUCGAAUCCUCUCGGGUGCA